AUACACAGCCAUAUCACCCUGCAGCCCAAGACUAGUCAUUCACUCUGAAGCUAAGCAGGGUUGAGCCUUUCAGUACCUGGAUGGGUGACCACAUUGGAAAACUAGGUUGCUGUUGGAA
rfam:Danio rerio chromosome 3, GRCz11 reference primary assembly.